GCGCCUUCUUGAAGAGCAGUCCUGAACCAAAGGGAAUUCACCUGGAAUACAAAGAUGACUAAUAUAUAUUUUGUGCAUGUAGGAGAGGAAAGGUUGACCACUAGAUGGAACACUAGCAUAGGACUUUGGAGACCAAGAUUUGAUUCCCUGCUCUGCCACAGAUAUCAUUUGUAACCUUGGAAGAAAAAGGAAUUCCAUGCAUAGAGUGGGGAAAGGUACAGAGACAGGCUACGAGAAAGAAACAAAUUGGGCACUGAUACCAACAGAGAAAAACAGCAAAGAACUGGCGGACAACAACAGAGGAGCAGGCAUAUCUGAAGUAUAUGCAGAGGAAGAUCAGUGAAGGGAUUUGAAGGUUGCUCGAAUCUGCAACUUGUUAAUGUUCCAAGUGAACAGCCAAGAAGGGACCUCAGAUUAAUGGCAUUUACGCUGUUGGAAUAUCAGUAAGGGGCACCAAGAGCAAAGGACGGGCACUCUUUUUAAUGGAAUGAGUGUAUACAUCUAACUAACUAAAUAAAUAACCAAAGGAAAAAAGAGAAGUGCAGCUGAUUUAAAUGGGGAUACUCACGAGAAGAGUGAAGCGAAAGGAGUUCUGAAUCCCAGAAUGGAAGUUUAGAGAAUGAAAAUUUCACUUCUCCGUUGGAGGCACACUGCAGGAGUAUUAAGAGCCAGAAAGUGAUACUGUCUACAAUGUCUGGGAUGAACACACUAUAGGGAUUUCUGUAAAAGGCUGUAAUCCUGCAAAGGUUUAUUUAUCUAACGUUUUCAUGUCUGUCAAGUUAAGCAUGUGCAUAUUACAUCUCUGCAAAAUUAGCGUCUAAAUCUGAAAAAUGUUUACACUGAAUUUUUUUUUUUUUAGAAGAACAAAAUAGUUUUUGUCAAUAGCGGAUUGGCAAAAUAAUACAAGGGUUGGGUGUAGACUACUAGAAAGUGUCCUUUUAACCUGUCAGCUUUCAUUUUCUCUCAUUUCUCUUCUCUGAAUGUCUUCACACAGUGGCGCUGUUAUUUACUGCUUUUACAACACUCAUAAUCAAACGAACAGUAAAGGGAGUUUGAGAUAAAGGUCACAACAAGAAGACUGGACAAUAUAUACAUUCAAUCUUUUGGGCUGGAUCCAAAGUCCACUGAAGUCAAUGGAAAGACUCUUCCCACUAAUGCAAGGAAACUCCUCAAAAGUAAAGGUACAAAGGAUUUUGGGGAAUGAAACCUCUGACUCUGUGGAUCAGCCUCUCAGCUCUAGCCCUCUGGCCCUCCUCUCUCGAGCUGCAUACAACCUUAAGGAGCUGGACUGUCAGUGGGCAGAGACCCAUUCUUGCACAUAACUCCCACACGCACCCUGGAAUGCAGUUACUGCUAUUUCAAGCGGGAACGUCUUAAGGCAAGUCUACAUUAAAAAAUUAAGUUGAGCUAAGCCCUGGUCUACACUAUGGGCUUAGGUCAAAUUUAGCCAAGUUAGGUCCAUUUUAAAAUGAAUGCAUCGACACAACCAACCCUGUUCUGGCGACCUAAAGGGCUCUUAAAAUAGACUUCAGUACUCCUCCCUGGCGAGGGGAGUAGCGCUAAAAAUCGACCUUGCGGGGUCGAAUUUCGGGUAGCGCAGACGCAACUUGACAGUAUUGGCCUCUGGGACCUAUUCCAGAGUGAUCCAAUGUGACCACUCCGGACAGCACUUUGAGCUCUGAUGCACUAGCCAGAUACACAGGAAAAGCCCCGGGAAGUAUUGAAUUUCAUUUCCUGUUUGGUCAGUGUGGCGAGCUCAGCAGCAUAGGUGACCAUGCAGUCCCCCCAGAAUUGCAAACGAGCUCCAGCAUGGACUGAAAGGGAGACACUAGAUCUGAUUGCUGUAUGGGGAGAAGAAUCUGUGCAGGCAGAACUCAGGUCAAAAAGAAGAAAUACUAAUAUAUAUGCCAAAAUUGCAAAGGGCAUGGUGGAGAGAGGCUACAACAGGGACACACAACAGUGCUUCGUGAAAGUUAAGGAGCUCAGGCCUCAGACCAAAAGACAAAGGAGACAAAUGGUCACUCCAGGUCAGAGCCCCAUACAUGCCACUUCUAUGAUCAGCUGCAUGGCAUUCUAGGUAGGACCCUACCACUACCCCACUGCUGUCCUUGGACACCUGCAAGGGGGAGUCUCACGCAACAGGGAGGAGGAUUUUGUGGAAGAGGAGGAGGAGGAGAAUGCGCAGCAGGCAAGUGGUGAAUCCGCUUUCCCUGGCAGCCAGGACCUUUUCAUCACCCUGGAGCCAAUACCCUCCCAAGGCGGGAUCCCAGACCCUGAAGCCAGAGAAGGCAGCUCUGGUGAGUGCACAUUUGUAAUGAAAGAACAGGGUUUAAAAGCAAGAGUGUUUAAUGUUUGAUUUGCCCUGAAGAAUUGGGAUGCAUUCGCGGCCAGUACAGCUACUGGAAAACUCUGUUAACGUGUCUGGGGAUGGAGCGGGAAUCCUCCAGGGACAUCUCCAUGAAGCUCUCCUGGAGGUACUCUGAAAGCCUUUGCAGAAGGUUUCUGGGGAGGGCUGCCUUAUUUGGUCCUUGUUGGCUUUCCUGCAGCUCCAGAAGACGGAAUGUUGCUUGAAUGCAAUCAAAACUCAGUUGAUUUUUAGAAAUUGAUUUUAUACAGUCAACUGUGUAUGUUCCCACUAAGCGCAUUAAGUCGGCGGAGUGUGUCCUCAAUAUUGCAGCUAGUAUUGAAUUACGGAGCGGUGCACUGUGGAUAGCUAUCCCACAGUCCCGCAGUCUCCACUGCCCAUUGAAAUUCUGGGUUAAGCUCCCAAUGCCUGAUGUGGCAAAAACAUUAUUGAGGGUGGUUUUGGGUACAUGUCGUCAGUCGCCCCUCCCUCCCUCUGUGAAAGUAAUGGAAGACAAUCGUUUUGUGCCUUUUUUCCUGGGUUACCCGUGCAGAUGCCAUACCACAGCAAGCAUGGAGCCCGCUCAGUUGUUGUGAGCUGCUGCUGUUGUGAGCAUUGUAAACACCUCAUAGAUUAUCCUGGAUAUCUGCAGAACCUGGCUAGGAGAUAUCAGCACAAGGAUGAUUGUGAUGAGGACAUGGGCACAGACAUUCCUGAAAGCACGGGCGGUGGCAAUUGGGACAUCAUGGCGGCAGUGGGGCUGGUUGAUACAGUGGAACUCCGAUUCUGGGCUUGGCAAACACUGCAUAGUGUUGCGGGUAUGGGAUGAUUCACAGUGGCUGCAAAACUUUUGCAUGCUUAAGGCCACUUUCCUUGAACUUUGUGAGUUGCUUUCCUCCACCCUUAAGCACAGGAAUACCAAGAUGAGACCUGCCCUGACAGUUGAGAAGCGAGUGGCGAUAGCCCUGUGGAAGCUUGCAAUGCCUGACUGUUACUGGUCAGUCGGGAAUCAAUUUGGAGUGGGCAAGUCUACUGAGGGGACUGCUGUGAUCCAAGUAGCCAAUGCAAUCACUGACGUUCUGCUAUUAAGGGUAGUGACUCUGGGAAAUGUGCAAGUCAUACUGGAUGGCUUUGCUACAAUGGGGUUCCCUAACUGUGGUGGGGCAAUAGACAGAACACAUAUCCCUAUCUUGGCACUGGACCACCUUGCCAACCAGUAUAUAAACCACAAGGGGUACUUCUCAAUGGUGCUGCAAGCACUGGUGGAUCACAAGGGACGUUUCACCAUCAUCAGUGUGGGAUGGCUGGGAAAGGUGCAUGACGCUCGCAUCUUCAGGAACUCAGGGCUGUUCAAGCAGUUGCAAGAAGGAACUUACUUCCCAGACCAGAAAAUUACCAUUGGAGAUGUUGAAAUGUCAAUAGUUAUCCUUGGGGACCCAGCCUACCCCUUGCUCCCAUGGCUCAUGAAGCCGUACACAGGCAGCCUGGACAGUAGAAAGGAGAGUUCAACUAUAGGUUGAGCAAGUGCAGAAUGGUGGUAGAAUGUGCUUUUGGACGUUUAAAAGCUCGCUGGUGCUGUGCGCUGACUAGGUUAGACCUCAGCACAAUCAACAUUCCCAUUGUUAUUGCUGCUUGCUGUGUGCUCCAUAAUAUCUGUGAGAGUAAGGGGGAGAUGUUUAUGGCAAGCUGGGAGGUUGAGGCAAAUCACCUGGUGGCCGACUUUGUGCGGCCAGAAACCAGGGCGAUUAGAAGAGCACAGCUAGGCGCGCUGCGCAUCAGAGAGGCUUUGAAAACCAGUUUCAUGACUGGCCAGGCUAUGGUGUGACAACUGUGUGUGUUUCUCCUUGCUGCAAACCCACCCCCUUUGUUGAUUUUAAUUCCAACCACCCUCCUCCCUUCGAUCACAGCUGGCAAAGGAAAUA